AUGUUUGAAAGGACUCGCAAGCGAGGCCAUCGAUUGACUUGGCUCUGCCGCUCAUUUACUUGCUUGGUUCUGCUUUCAUUCCGACGUCCGCUCAUUCAAGUGUUCACUCGCUCAUUUCCACUCCCCUGCUACUUACGCAUUCCGAGGUUUCAGCGCCGGCCCUUGGCCCUUGGCCAUCCGCUCCCAUCAGUGCGCGCCGCGCCGCGAGGACAGGGCAGCUGCGGGGAGCGGCCACCAGAGGGCGCGCGCGGCACGCGUACGGCGGCAGGCCCGGCCCGGGUCGCCACGGCGGAGGGGAGGGACGCGGGUUCGCGGCCACCGCGGCCCUUCCACAGCCAGCAGCACAGGCGGGGGCUCGGCGGCCAGGAGGACGGGCGUCGCCGGCGAGAGCGGACCAAGGGGGAGACGGGGGCUCGCGCGCAGGGCCGGUGGCCGCGGGGGACCCGAGGCCUAACUUGUCGUCAAGGUCCAAGCAGGGAUCGCGGAGGAAGCAGCAGCAAAGGCUGGAGUGAGGGAAGCUGCCCUCACGUCUGUUGCCUCUGGGGGGCCCAGGACAGGAGCACCCGCAGCAGGGCCAAGGGCCAGCAGAGAGGCAGGUCAGGGAAACGGAGUCCAUUGGACUUCUGA
rnacentral:lncRNA from 12 species